ACUCAAAUGAAUUGACGGGGGCCCGCACAAGCAGCGGAGCGUGUGGUUUAAUUCGAGGCUACACGAAGAACCUUACCUGGGGUUGACAUCACGCUGGUAAGGCUGGGAAACCAGCCUGACCCGCAAGGGAGGCGUGACAGGUGCUGCAUGGCUGUCGUCAGCUCGUGCCGUGAGGUGUUCGGUUAAGUCCGGUAACGAGCGCAACCCCCGGCGUUAGUUAGAUGCUCUAACGCAACUGCCCGUGACAAGCGGGAGGAAGGUGGGGAUGACGUCAAGUCAGCAUGGCCUUUAUCUCCAGGGCUACACACACGCUACAAUGGCCGGUACAAUGGGUUGCCAAGCCGCAAGGCGGAGCCAAUCCUAUCAAAGCCGGUCUCAGUUCAGAUUGGGGGCUGCAACCCGCCCCCAUGAAGUCGGAGUUGCUAGUAACCGCGCGUCAGCCAUAGUGCGGUGAAUACGUUCCCGGGCCUUGUACACACCGCCCGU
rnacentral:rRNA from 1 species